AUUGAACGCUGGCGGCAGGCUUAACACAUGCAAGUCGAGCGGGGUGAUGGUGCUUGCACUAUCACUUAGCGGCGGACGGGUGAGUAAUGCUUAGGAAUCUGCCUAUUAGUGGGGGACAACAUCUCGAAAGGGAUGCUAAUACCGCAUACGUCCUACGGGAGAAAGCAGGGGGUCACUUGUGACCUUGCGCUAAUAGAUGAGCCUAAGUCGGAUUAGCUAGUUGGUGGGGUAAAGGCCUACCAAGGCGACGAUCUGUAGCGGGUCUGAGAGGAUGAUCCGCCACACUGGGACUGAGACACGGCCCAGACUCCUACGGGAGGCAGCAGUGGGAAAUAUUGGACAAUGGGGGGAACCCUGAUCCAGCCAUGCCGCGUGUGUGAAGAAGGCCUUAUGGUUGUAAAGCACUUUAAGCGAGGAGGAGGCUUACCUAGUUAAUACCUGGGAUAAGUGGACGUUACUCGCAGAAUAAGCACCGGCUAACUCUGUGCCAGCAGCCGCAGUAA
rnacentral:rRNA from 1 species